rnacentral:rRNA from 1 species
AUGCAAUUCUACUCCACAAUACACUUCUAUCCAGAUGGCAGGAUAGUAUGGAUGUCUGAAGGUACAAGGUACCACUCAACUAUUGAGGAAUGGGCAAAUCUGAUCAAUGCUCCUAAGGAAGAAGAAGAUGACUUGGAUGUCUAUGCCAAGAAGAAGAUGGAUCACAACUCUAUGGCAAACAUGUACAAGGAGAUUCCUGAAGAUGAUCUUGAGACUCACCAGUUUGGGUCAGUAAAACACUUGCUGUCAGGGCUGCCUACAAUCAAUUGGAUCCUUAGGCACACUCUCUUGCCCAAGUCUGGUGAUCACAAAAUGAUCAGAGGCCAUGCAAUUAACUUGCUACAUAUAUUUGAUGUGCCACAGAAGUUCAAGGUCAUGAGCCUUAUAGUUGAGACUAUCAAGAGGACUGCAGCUCACCAGAAAAGAAGUUGUGGAUAUGCCCCACAAAUUUAG